GGCCUACACAUGCAGUCGAGGGGUAGGGUAGCAAUACCUGAGACCGGCGCACGGGUGCGUAACGCGUAUGCAAUCUACCUUUUACAGAGGGAUAGCCCAGAGAAAUUUGGAUUAAUACCUCAUAGCAUAGCAGCUUCGCAUGAAGUCACUAUUAAAGUUCCAACGGUAAAAGAUGAGCAUGCGUCCUAUUAGCUAGAUGGUAAGGUAACGGCUUACCAUGGCUACGAUAGGUAGGGGUCCUGAGAGGGAGAUCCCCCACACUGGUACUGAGACACGGACCAGACUCNUACGGGAGGCAGCAGUGAGGAAUAUUGGACAAUGGGCGCAAGCCUGAUCCAGCCAUGCCGCGUGCAGGAAGACGCAUCUAUGGUGUGUAAACUGCUUUUGUACGGGAAGAAACACUCCUACGUGUAGGAGCUUGACGGUACCGUAAGAAUAAGGAUCGGCUAACUCCGUGCCAGCAGCCGCGGUAAUACGGAGGAUCCAAGCGUUAUCCGGAAUCAUUGGGUUUAAAGGGUCCGUAGGCGGUUUGAUAAGUCAGUGGUGAAAGCCCAUCGCUCAACGAUGGAACGGCCAUUGAUACUGUCAGACUUGAAUUACUAGGAAGUAACUAGAAUAUGUAGUGUAGCGGUGAAAUGCUUAGAUAUUACAUGGAAUACCAUUGCGAAGGCAGGUUACUACUAGUGGAUUGACGCUGAUGGACGAAAGCGUGGGGAGCGAACAGGAUAGAUACCCUGGUAGUCCACGCCGUAAACGAUGGAUACUAGCUGUUCGGGGUAACCUGAGUGCU
rnacentral:rRNA from 1 species